CCGCGCCACGAGUGGCAAUCAGCAUUAUUGGGCCUAAAGCGUCCGUAGCCGGUCUCAUAAAUUCUUUGUGAAAUCGUCAAGCUUAACUUGACGGCUUGCGAAGAACACUGUGAGACUAGAGACCAGGAGGGGUAGAAGGUAUUCCUUGGGGAGCGGUAAAAUGUUAUAAUCCCCGGAAGACCACCGAUAGCGAAGGCAUUUGACUAGAACGGAUUUGACAGUGAGGGACGAAAGCCAGGGGAGCGAACCGGAUUAGAGACCCGAGUAGUCC
rnacentral:rRNA from 1 species